AACCCAUGGUGAGGGCAUAUUCUCAAGAGGUCCUUGUAUCUCUCCCAUGCAUCGUAGAGUGUUUCUAAAUCCAUCUGCACAAAAUUAUGUAAUUUGGCUGUUUUAGCU
rfam:Gossypium arboreum cultivar AKA8401 contig_130773_1, whole genome shotgun sequence.